GAUGAACGCUGGCGGCGUGCCUAAUACAUGCAAGUCGAGCGAACAGACGAGGAGCUUGCUCCUCUGACGUUAGCGGCGGACGGGUGAGUAACACGUGGAUAACCUACCUAUAAGACUGGGAUAACUUCGGGAAACCGGAGCUAAUACCGGAUAAUAUAUUGAACCGCAUGGUUCAAUAGUGAAAGACGGUUUUGCUGUCACUUAUAGAUGGAUCCGCGCCGCAUUAGCUAGUUGGUAAGGUAACGGCUUACCAAGGCAACGAUGCGUAGCCGACCUGAGAGGGUGAUCGGCCACACUGGAACUGAGACACGGUCCAGACUCCUACGGGAGGCAGCAGUAGGGAAUAUUCCGCAAUGGGCGAAAGCCUGACGGAGCAACGCCGCGUGAGUGAUGAAGGUCUUCGGAUCGUAAAACUCUGUUAGUAGGGAAGAACAAAUGUGUAAGUAACUAUGCACGUCUUGACGGUACCUAAUCAGAAAGCCACGGCUAACUACGUG
rnacentral:rRNA from 1 species